AUGAAGGUUUGGAUCAGAUCCUUGAAGAGUUAUGUAAGUAUUUACCAAUUUUAUUUUAUUAAUUCAAUGAUUAAUAAUAAUAAUAAUAACGACAAUAACGUUGCUAUCAUUCCAAUAGUUGAUGAGAACGUGUUGUUUGCUUGUGAUGAACCCGGUGCUGUUAAUAACGACGAGCAAGAUGUUGGCAGCAAUCAGGAGCUGAUAACCCCUCCAGAAAACGUUGCGCAAGAAGUUGAGAUUAGCACCGAAUCACAACACGCCCUAGGACACGUCACAAAGCCUGCCUCCGCCGACGCGCCGGAUCCCGAGGGUGAUUCUCACAAUCUCCCAGAUGUCUCAAACGUACGCACCGAAGCUAGCGUUACGUGUAGAGUACGACAUUCGGAGGGCCAGGGAGUGAAACGUCUGAGGUUACCGGAGUGGGGAACAGACGAUGUACCAAGCACCAGUCGUUUAAGGACUUCGGAGAAUAACGAGCAGCGAUAUGAUGAAGGAGGGGUGACAGCUUGGAGCGAUUCUAUGGUGAGCGCGUGGGAUCGUGCGUCUUUUAGCGAUUCGGCAAGCGAAGAGGAGACGGAAGAAUUGCCUAACGAAGACCCUCAAGAGCUGUUCCGUGAACGUGACUUAAAUAGAAGGCUUGAUUAUGAUAUGCUUCGCCGUGUUAAUCGACGGUUUGGCACACUUUUCGAUUUGAGCGGUCAAGCAUUGUCCUAUCGAGGUGCAGAAGAGAUCGUGGGUAAUGCUCAAAGUGAUGUGGUAGCGAUUUUGAGGAACAUCAUCGAAUGCCAACAACAGCUGAACGAAUCCUUACGUCAUGCAGCCGAAUUUUGGAGGAGUUGUCACGAUCAACUAUAUGGUGAAUUUCGUCAGUUUCAACAACGUAUGAACGGGGUACCGGGAGAAAUCCAUCAGGUACAAGUUGAACAAAACUUAAUUGUUAACGCUCUUACUCUGAUCAGUGAACGUUUAAAUCUAAUGCAAAGAAUGUUAUCAGAUUUGUACCGACGUGAUCAUCCUUGAUAUGUAUUGUCUUGUUGUUUUUAGUAUUAUUAAUUUUUAAAAAAAAAAAAAUUUUGGCUUGGAAAAAAAAAAAAAUAUUGUUUUUUUAUUUCUUACACGUAUUAUUGUUUUGUUCUAGGUAGUGAAUUGCCAUUAGUUUUUCAUUUAUUAAUAUUGUCUGUUGGGGGUGCUUUAUAUCAUAUGGUAUGUUAUUGUGUCCCACAUUAGCGGGGUUGUUUUACUUGUGGAGAAAAUAUAUGGUUUUGAAUUAUAACAGUUGUAUGUUUCUGUUUUGUCAUCUAUAUCGCAUUGUGAACUGGUGUUGGUGUUUUCAGGAGUAUGCACGCUCGUCUUUAAAUUUAAAAAAAAAAAAAAAAAAAGGUGUUUUCGCUUUUAAAUAAAUAAAAUAAUAAUUCAAAAUGAGUAGUAAAAGAUGUCACGAUGAUUUACAUACCCACGGUUCAGAAGAUGAUCAGAGACCAUUAAGACCCAGAUAUGAUUUUCAAAACAAUACACAACAGUUACACGAAAUUAUUAACAAUCAUUUACACAUGUUACCGCCUAAUCCUCUAACAUGAUAGAUAGAUUACACGAGCUAAUAGACGAACAACACGAAUGGUUGGGAGCCGCUGUAGACAGCGAUGUCCAGAUCGGUGCUGGAACUCCUAAUAACGAUCCCUCAGGUUAUGAUCCCACAGCUCCAGAUAUGGGUCUCAGUCAGCAUUACAUAGAUAGACUAGUGAGAGAAGGAGGUAGUGUGGGUGAUUUUUACGAUUGUCCCAAGACCUCGAUUUAAAUGGUUUAGAAAUUCGCAGAACUUUAAAUUUUCGUGAAAUAGCGACAGAUGAUUUUGCAGCAUACAAUAUAUUUUUACAUGAUAUUUUGAACGAGAUUGUUACACUUUCCAGAUUAUUAGCUGGCGAUGGGGGUUUUUUUAACAUCUCCCUGCAAGGUGCAAGUCUGCCCACUGAUAUUAAUGCAGUUCUAACGCCUGAUAACAAUCAUGACGUUAAUGUAUUUGUAGACCAAAUCGAACGAACCGUUCAAAGCAAUACGGAUGUAGCUUUUGAUACCGCUUUAGAGUUACGUGUCUCUGUAGCGCGAAACAAACAAGGCGGUGGUCGUAGGAAGUUGGCUGAUCUGGCACAUAACCAGGUCAUACAGAAAAAUAGAAUGCAUUUGUUUGCCCCCAAAAAUGUCACAGACCAUAUGUGUUUUAGCAUGUGUAUAGCGCACUUUCUAAAUCCACAGUGUACCGAUGCAGAAUUGAUGACAUUAGCUAGAAUAUACAUACCGAUCUGGGUUAUGAUCCACAAGACAAAAUUGCGUUGCAUGAUGUUUCUAAAUUUGAAACCCUUCUAGACUUGAAAAUAGUUAUCUUUCACAGAUCAGGUUCAGGUAAAUUGGAAGUGUAUAAAAAUACGGACGAGCUGCAUCACAAGACGCUGCAUUUGUACCUGCAUGAAGAACAUUUUUAUGGGAUAAAAAAUCUGAAAGGUUUCUUAGGAUACGCGUAUGUUUGUGAGUACUGCUAUCGAGGGUUUAGUGAUCGUAGUCUACAUCAUUGCAAAUUUACAUGUAACGUAUGCAUGAACAUAUCUUGCUACACGCAUCCCAAGAAAUCGGUGCAAUGCGAUGAUUGCUUGAGAUACUGUAGAUCUGAUUUCUGCUAUGAAAUGCAUAAACAAGCAAAAAGUGACGGAUCAAAGUCUCAGUGUGAUAGCAUAAAAUACUGUGAUAAAUGUUACAGACAGUACAGAGCAAAAUGGACCGGUGAUAAGCUAUUAACGCACAAAUGUGCACCAAUCCAGAUGUGUUCACUGUGCGAAGUUCUCAUGGGUGAAGAUCAGCACUGUUGCUAUAUUCAACCAGCCAAGCCUAGUGAACAUAGUCAAGACUAUAUUUAUUUUGACUUUGAGACGAUGUAUGAAGACGGUCGUCAUAAGGCAAAUUAUGUUUGUGCAAUAACGCAAGCUGGGGAUGAGUUUUCGGCGGAAGGUGUAGAUUGUGUGGAUCAGAUGGUCAAGCAUUUCAGACGACCGAAAUUUGCGGGUUUCACAUUUAUCGCACACAAUUCUUCAGGUUUCGACUCUUUUAUACUGCUAGAGUAUUUUACUAGUCAGGGACUAACACCAAAAUCAUACUCCAAGGCUGUAGACUUGUUUACAUGUACGAUCAUGCCUUUAAACAGAGAUACAUCGACAGCUAUAGCUUCUUGCCCAUGAAAUUGUCAAAAUGACCUCUGCUUUAAACUUAAACACCAGCGAAAAAGGAUAUUUUCCACAUCAUUUUAAUCGCUUGCAGAAUGCAAAACUAUAUCGGUCCGUAUCCGUCAAAAGAUUAUUACGGAUAUCAGACGAUGGUCUGACGCUGAACGUGUGAAAUUUGAUUCGUGGCAUGAGGGUGUAGCAGGAGAGGUGUUUUGACUUCAAAAAGCAACUAGCAUUGUACUGUAAGAAUGACGUUGUUUUGCUACGUGAAGGCUGUAUGAAAUACAGAAAAGAGUUUAUAGAAUGUACCAACGUAGAUCCUUUCGGAUGUAUAACAUUAGCCGGCUGUG
ensembl:lncRNA